CUGGCAGCACAUUAUUGGUGUGACAAGGUGUUUAAGGCUUUUGUUAAUAAGGGUCUCAAGUGUGUGUGUGUGUGUGUCGCUAUCUGAAAGCAAAGAGCAGCUGUCAAUGUUUGGACACCAUCUGGAUGGCAACAGUGCACCAAAAGGGAUGCAUAUGCAAAUGCUCACAACCCAAUAACAAAAUUAUUGAGUUAGCCAGCAAUACCUGGCUCGACAUGUCCCGAGGUUGGAGAUAUAUUCAUUCUUGAAACAAAGCAACAAAGCAGGAGAGCAGCUUGUUAUGUGUGUAAAUGGUAAUAUGACAAUUCUCCUGUAUCAGAGUCAGAUCACCACUGAAACCAUUUUUUCAGUGCAUCACUACUGCAGUGUCAACACUAGCACCCUCUAUAUCCUUUAUUCAUGUAGUAGGUAUCCUACUGUUUUUUUCAUUUUCUCACCGGUGCUUUAUUUAAUAGCUACAUGCUGAAAAACAACAAGUGUGGCUGAGAAAUCCUGUAAAAUUGCCACAGUAUAUCACUGUGCAAAAGCACAUCACAUGGAUUACAUCAUGGAAAUAUUAAACAAAUAAACAACACACUCAUUCA